UUUUUCUUCUACUUCCUGUUUAGUUUAUACUGCAAGCAAACUUAUUUGCCUUCUUCCAGAAGUCACAAGUGAGGCGAGGAGCUCUUGCAAGAAACUUGAAAGCAUUUUGCGGCCCUGCCGACAAGUGAUGUGGGUGUCAUUCCAUCAGUGCAGCCCAAACUUCUCCCUCUAAUGUUCACGAGCUCGCCGAUUAUCCCGGGGGACACAGCCAGCGGGCAGCUGCUUUCACUUGCUACGCUAAGCUAACCUAAGUUAAGCAAUCGCAUUAGAAGACUGAAAAAAAAACGUGAAGCCAUGUUCCAAAUUUUUAUGGGACUUCAAAAUUGUUUGUCAAGUGAGGACACACAUUGACGUGCCUUUUUUUUUUUUUUUUUUUUUUUUAAUGCUGCUUGCGACGUCUGUUGUGCUUUUGUUUGUGCGCUAACAAGCUGCUGUCAUGUUUUUGUUUUACGGCACACUUCCCCUCUGUUUCUCCUUUGCGGCAAAUAACUCGCAGCCCGCCAAAUGUUUAGUACUGAGGAGAUGAUUCACCGGCGGCCUGACUCACUCAGCACCUCCGAAUCGCCAAAGAAUUUAUUGAAAAAUAUUAUAAGCACACCACGGCUUUUAUGUUUGGAGUGGAAGUCAGAAAAUGGCUUCUUUUUUUUUUUUUCAUGAAUGACUUCACAAAUGCGUUGCAGGUUGAAAAAUCAUAAGCCCCGCCGUCCACCCUCUACUCCCCCCACCCCCACCCCUUUCCUCCUCCGCUUCUUUAGGACUCUUUCGGGAAACGUAGUCGAUGAUUCAGGAUUAAAAAAACAAAACACACACACACACACACGCACAAACGUAUGACACACGCUUGAUCUUGGCCUUCUCUGGUUUUGAUUUGUAGCUAUUCAGGAGCCCCCCCCCCCCCACCCCCCUUUGCCCAUUUAAGCCCACCCUCAAUGGCUUCCAGCUGGAUGUUAUCCUGGGUGAGGGGGAGGAGGAGGAGGAGGAGGAGACCUUGGCUGGCAGCCAGCCUCAACUUGCUCAACCCCCCCUCGCCCCUCCCCCCACCACCACAUCGUGCCCCACCCCCGUCGUUAUUUGUUUAAUUGGUGGAAAAAGCCAUAAAGUUGAAAUGUUUAAUUUGUGGCUGAUGUCCAGUGUCUUUUAAUGUCUUGCACGAGGUUAGGAGGUGAAGAAAGCAAGCGCUCCCAAAAGACGCUGACGAAGCCAAAACGAGCCGUCCCGAAAUACCCUCAUGUUUCCUCACCGAUUUCCUCAAAUAUUUCCUCGUUCCGCUCGUAGAUGCUGCGCCCUCACUUUUCACCCACUAUCUAAAUAGCCCGGUUGAAAUCGGCUAGUUCUGGGAAGCAUUGAUUUGUCAUGAAAAAAAACAAAAACAAAAAAAAAACGCUAAAAAAAUUAAGUACCAACUAACCAACCCCCCUCCCCCCCAAAAAAACAUUUUUCUCCACUUCCACUGUAAAAAGCAUUUUGGGCCAGGGGUCGCCCACCUUUUUUCAAAGUUAGUGCUACUUCUUGGGUAAUGAAUAAAAAGCAAAGGACAACCAGUUACCAAUCACAGAGUUGGCUUGGUGAGCUACUUUUAGAACAGACUGGCAGGCUCCUCAUGCCGUCCUUGGGGGCUCACUGGCACCCCGUGGCUGAAAAAAGCAUUGAAGACGAAAAAAAUGCAACAAUACAAGUAUAUUAGAAAAAAAAACAACACAAGGCCAAAAUAUUAGCACAUAAUUUAGACAUCAAUCCCAUAAUAUUUUAAAAUGAUACAAAUUAUUUUCCUGCAAACUUUAGAAAUGUGACAUCAUGUCCUUUUAUGGUAAACGUUUGAUCGAUUCUGACAGUUCCGCUAAUAUAAUACUAUUUUGGGGAAAUAAGGUGUAACCCCCUGACCCC